UACGGGGGGGGCAAGCGUUGUUCGGAAUUACUGGGCGUAAAGGGUUUGUAGGUGGCUUGUUAAGUCAGACGUGAAAUCCCUCAGCUUAACUGGGGAACUGCGUCUGAGACUGGUGAGCUUGAGUGCAGGAGAGGAACGCGGAAUUCCAGGUGUAGCGGUGAAAUGCGUAGAUAUCUGGAGGAACACCGGUGGCGAAGGCGGCAUCCUGGACCAAUUCUGACGCUGAGGAGCGAAAGCCAGGGGAGCAAACGGG
rnacentral:rRNA from 1 species